CCUACGGGGCGCAGCAGUAGGGAAUCUUCCACAAUGGGCGAAAGCCUGAUGGAGCAACGCCGCGUGGGUGAAGAAGUAUUUCGGUAUGUAAAGCUCUAUCAGCAGGAACGAGACAAGACGGUACCUGACUAAGAAGCCCCGGCUAACUACGUGCCAGCAGCCGCGGUAAUACGUAGGGGGCAAGCGUUAUCCGGAAUCACUGGGUGUAAAGGGAGCGUAGACGGCUGAGCAAGCCUGAAGUGAAAGGCAGGGGCCCAACCCCUGGACUGCUUUGGGAACUGUACGGCUGGAGUGCAGGAGAGGGA
rnacentral:rRNA from 1 species